rnacentral:lncRNA from 1 species
UCGUGUGAAUCGAAUAUCGUCGGAAAUGCAAGUAAGCAAACAAACUGAGAUUCGAGAUCUCAGCUUGUGGAGAAAACAUACUCAUUUGUAAUGUGUCAGUGUGCUCAAUAGACGAAAUGUCUAGAAGUAAAAAAAAUUUAUCAUUGCUAAAACGUGAUAAUGAUGAAAUAGAUCAAUGGGUUGGAUUUAAGCAAUGGAAAAAUGAAACAAUAUGUAAAAGUGAAAAUAAAGCCCUUUCGUUAGUAGCUGAAGAAAACUUGGCAUGCAGCUCCAAAAUAAGGGAAAACAUUUCGAACUCUUCUUCGCAAGUUUCUCCUAGUAAAUCCUCGCAUGAACAAACUAUUAAUCUAGAUACGGAUGAUAAAGAUGUGUCUGAUACUGAAACUAUUCUACCCCAGACAGAUAGAAUUAUAUUUCAGAGUGAAAAAUUGGAAUCUAGCUAUAAUAACUUUCCAAACACGAAUAAUGGUUUUGAAUAUGCUCCUAAUGCAAACUGUUCAUCAGGAAUCAUCCAGAUAUUAAUUAUUCAACUUUUAAUGCGUCUUCUGUAAAUGAUGACUACUGUUUAUCUGACAGUGAAAUUAUUAUCGAUCGCUAUUUCGCAAAGAAUAAUGAGAACAAAGAGAAAACAAUAAUUAAUACUAAAAUUACUGAUGGCAACUUUAACAAACAAAAUACGCAAUAUCGAGGAAUAUUACACCAAAAUGUUCCUAAAUUAAAAUCAUCGAUAAAUAUGUAAUUUGUUGAAUAACUUAUAUUAAGAUAAAUUAUUUAUGCUUAAUUUUAGAUUUUCAGUCAUGAAAUUGAUAUAAGUCGUAGAAAAAACAGAAUAUGGGAUAAAAAAGAUCUGUGUCCUUAUUGCAAUAUCGGUGUUACUAAUUUUUCAAGGCACCUCCUUAGAAAUCAUUCCAAUGAAGCUAGUGUAAAGACUAUUUUAAGUUUUAAAAAGGGCACAACUCAAAGAAAACAUCUUAUCAAUUUAUUAAGAAAACAAGGAAAUUUUUCCGUAUACAAUGAAAAUAUAAUAAGACCUGUCCAGAGACCAACAUCGUCAGACGCCGAAAAACAACUAUUAUUCUUACCAUGUAUUUUUUGUAAAGGAAUGUAUCGAAAAAAUAGUUUAAAUAGACAUAUAAAGACUUGCAAUUAUAAUAACAAAAAAAAUUGCUCCAGUACAAGAUAUACCAGCGAAGGCCAAACACUAGUUGCUUUUAACGAAACUAGAACACCAUUUUUAAACAGACUUAGGCUUAAAUCAGAGGUAUUUAGUAUUAUGCGUGCCGAUAAAAUAUCAUUACUGGGAAAAGUGAUCCACUUAUAUGCCAAUAUGCAGAAGAUUAUUUAAAAAAACAUAAAAGACCGCACAUCAAAAAUUUAGUAAGCAAUAAAAUAAGAGAAUUAGGACGACUUUUAAUUAGCCUGCAGGAAAAUUAUAACAUUAAUUCUAUAUUGGAAAGUUUAAAUCCAGAAAAUUUUGAUAAAGUUGUUUCAUGUGUUCGGUUAAUUUCAGGUUAUACGGAAUCCUCUAAAGAAUUUCAAGCUCCUUCAUUAGCAUUACAUUUUCGAAUAAUUUUACUUAGUAUUUGCUCCACUGCUGAAACCUUAAUUUUAAAAAGAGAUCCAAUUUUACCAAUAGAAAACUAUGAAAUUUCAUUAAAACGAAUAAAAAAUGUUAGUAAACUUGUAAGUCAUAAUUGGAAAUUUGAAAUGGGAAGUUUGGCCCUUAAAGACUUAAGUGAAAAAAAUUCCCUGAAUCCUCAAAGGCUUCCAGUCACUGCAGAUGUAAUAAUAUUCAACACUUAUUGCUAUGAAUCAGCUGAAAAAGCAGCAGCAGAGGUCCAAAAUAAUAUAACCAAUAUUGAAGCUUUUAAAACAUUAUCAGAAACGAUCUUGGCUCUAACAAUAUCUCUAAAUCAUAAAAGAAUUGGUGAUGUACAAUAUAUGAAACUUCCAUCAUAUAAAUGUAGUACAAAUGUUCAGGAGGAAUGCUUAGAUAUAUUAUCAGAAACUGAAAAAAAUUAACAAAAUAUUUUAAAAGAAUAGUUACCAUUGGAAAAGGAAGUAAAGCAAUACCCAUAAUGUUUCCUACAAAAAUCCAAAAAUAUAUUGUUAUAUAUUUUUGGAUUUUUGGAAAAAUAUAUAAUGUUAAAUUUUAGAGAAAACACAAAAUGUGUACUAAGUGAAAAUCUCUAUUUAUUUGCUUUAGUAGGCAGUUCAAAUAGGUGGAUUAAUGGUGCUCGGACUUUAAGAAAAUAUGCUUAUUCAUGUGAAGCACAGUACCCUAAUACCAUAACAUCAUCUCGUUUACGGAAACAGAUAGCUACAGUGUUACAAAUUCUAAGUCUAGAUAAUGUCGAAAUGGACCAAUCGGCCACGUUUAUGAGACACACGAAAAAAACUCAUGAAGAAUUUUACAGGUUUGACAAUUUAUGCUUAAUAUUUAUAAUUAUUUUUAUUUAAAUUUUUUAGUAAACUGCAAUAAUAAAUACUAUUAACAAACUUUAUAUUAAAACUAUAAUAUUUUUUAAAUCAUUAGUUUAAAAUGUAAGUAAACAAUACGUCAGAGUAUAUUAAUUAAUUUAUAAUAUUGCUUUAAAGAAAAUAAUUAGAUAGACACAUUAUAUGCAAUUAAAAGUAAAUACCAAUAUUUAGAUUGCCUCAAGAAAUAUUCCAAACUUCAAAAAUUGCUAAAUUACUUUUAAUGCUUAUGGAUCGGAGAAUUAGCAAAGAAGACCAAGAAAAAACUAUUCAAGAAAUUGAUGCUGUAAUGGAUAAAUGGGAAGAUAAUAUUGCCAGUAAUAUUUAAUUAUUCUAACCAUUAAAGAAAGUUUUUAGUUUAAAUUAAUAUUACAUUUAGAUUCACAAGUUCAUACACAAACUUCAUACACAGACAAAAAGAUUUAGCAACUUAAUGUUUACUUACACAUACACAUUAUUUAAAAU